AGCGAACGCUGGCGGCAGGCCUAACACAUGCAAGUCGAACGAACCUUUCGGGGUUAGUGGCGGACGGGUGAGUAACACGUGGGAACGUGCCUUUAGGUUCGGAAUAACUCAGGGAAACUUGUGCUAAUACCGAAUGUGCCCUUCGGGGGAAAGAUUUAUCGCCUUUAGAGCGGCCCGCGUCUGAUUAGCUAGUUGGUUGAGGUAAUGGCUCACCAAGGCGACGAUCAGUAGCUGGUCUGAGAGGAUGAUCAGCCACAUUGGGACUGAGACACGGCCCAAACUCCUACGUGAGGCAGCAGUGGGGAAUCUAGCGCAAUGGGCGAAAGCCUGACGCAGCCAUGCCGCGUGAAUGAUGAAGGUCUUAGGAUUGUAAAAUUCUUUCACCGGGGACGAUAAUGACGGUACCCGGAGAAGAAGCCCCGGCUAACUUCGUG
rnacentral:rRNA from 1 species